rnacentral:sRNA from 1 species
UGUCGCAGCGCUCAAGGAGCACGGUGG